AAACUACAAGGGGAGCCGAAGCUCCCCCAGAAGUAGUUGCGUGCUCUAUUUUUAUUAUUGAUUUCGGGCUUCUUGUUUUUGUUGAUCGCCCUCGCCAUGAAGCUUGACCUUCAUGACACUCCCAAUCGGGAGUCAAGAGCAAACGGAUUGCUUUGGUCGCUGUGUUGCUGAUCUACGAUCCAACCAGUUCAGGCUCUGCCUUAGGGCAGUU
rnacentral:sRNA from 1 species